GUGCAGUUCUGAGAAGGGAUUCAGUGUGCCGUUGCUGGCUCUGAGAAGUAGGAGCCUUGUGCAAGGAUUCAGGAGAGGCCUCUAGAAACUGAGGAUGGCCCUCAACUGGCAAGCACAGGCAACUGAAUUCGGCCAGGCAUCUGGGUCCUGUGCUAGGGGCUAGGAAGACAAAGAGAAACAGAGUCACAUCCUCCCACAAAAAUCCAUGAGAUGUCGGAGAGCCGAACUUGUAAACAGCCAUCAUCAACACAAAGAAGGAUGCACUGAUGCUCUCUAGAGGCUCACAGGAAAUGAUUCAUGGGCAUAGAGAUGUGGAACCUACGGACAUGGAGGGCCAACUUCACAUAUAAUGAAAUAUUAUUUGGCCGUAAAAAGGAAGGAAAUCCUGCCAUUUAUGACAACAUGGAUGGACCUGGAGGACAUUAUGCUAAGUGAAAUAAGCUAGACACAGGAAGCCAAAUACUGCCUCAUCUCACUUCUGUAUAAAACCUAAACUAGUUAAACACAUAGAAGCAGAGAAUAGAAUGGUAGUUGCCAGGAGCUGGAGGGAAGGGGAAAUGGGGAAGUAUUGGCCAAAGAGUUCAAUUUGUGUAAAGUUUCAGUGUGCAAAAUAAGUAAAUUCUGGAAACCUCCUGUGCGAUAUAGGGCAUAUGAUUAACACCACUAUAUUGUGUUUUAAAAAAUUUGCUAAGAAGGUAGAUUAAGAAAAACAAAGAAAACCAAAAAACCCAAAGGCAGCAGAAGGACACUUUUGGAGAUAAUGGAAAAGUUUAUGGCAUUAAUAUUGGUAGUGAUGAUGGUUACAUGGGUGUAUGCUUAUCUCCAAACACAUCGAGUUGUAUACAUUAAAUAUCUAUAGCUUCUUGUAUGUCAAUUAUAUCUCAAUAAAGCGGUUUAAAAAAUUGGAUAAAAUAUUUCGGCAAACACACCAAUUCUCAAUAGCCCCAUGCUGCCCAACACCACAGAAGCCAAGCAGACCCAGCCACACUCUGGAUUUGGUCUACAGGUUAUGAGGCUGACCUCCAGGAUAAACUAAGAACUGAACUGCAACUGGUGGGCAAGAACCAAGGGGGAGUUCAAGCCCUCAGAGACGGUGCCAGCCAUGAUAUCGAGAUCUUCCCUGCAGCCCAGGGCCAAAAUUACAAAAGCUUCCACUGUGUGACUUUUAUUAUGUGGGUGAGUUACAGAAAACAGAUGCUUCACUGAAUUAACUGGAUCACUGCAUCUGCGUAGACAUGUCAUCCAGUAUACUCAUGCGAUGUCACUCAUCUGCCCCCUCCUACAUAAAUGAUACACAAAAAAGUCAACAAUCAGAGAAACCCAAGCUCCUGGAUGUCAACAUCCACUUCUGCUUGGAGUUGGUUCCUUUCAUGGAGACAUACACCCCUCGCCACACACCUGCCACCUCCCUGACCCUCGCAAUCCCUGGCAUGAGAAGCUCCACCUUGUCAAGAGCAGACAUUCUGAAAGGCUGAAGCCAGGAACCUUAAAGGAAACAUUCUGCCAAGUCCACCACGUAGGAUCAAUGGAGAUGGUGGUAGUGUGGUUAUUGGCUUACCCAGCUCUGGGUGUAGAGUGCUUUGGGGAGGAGGAAGGAAGAAGAGCUGAUCCUGCCUUCUCAGGGCUUUAGCACAUAAUGGUGAUAUAUUGUUUUUCUACAAGUUGCCAUUAAAUAAUGAUGAGAUUUUACUAACAGUCACUUACCGAGGCUAUGCUGUGCCAGGCAGUGUGCUGGGUGCAGGGUCUUUCUGAUUCCUGUUCCUGAAUUAUUUGCUCUGUGAGGAGAACUGGACAAGUAAGACAAUGGUUUCUGUUCUGUUGGAUUCUUUAACUCAGUUGGAGUUCACAGCAAUGGAACAGUUGAAGUGUUUUGUUUUUGUUUGUUUUUCUUUUCUAUGUAUUUUAUGAGAUCAAAAUGAGACAAGAUGGGGUGUCUCUGUUCUUUCUGCUACUAGGAAAAAAUGUGUUUUAUUUCUGUUUUCAGUAGAAAUAAUUGUAAAUUCUGAACUGCACAGAGAGCCCUCACACAUAACAGGUUCAGGAAUAAUUCUAGGAGAGUCACAUGGUUUUCCUUGGCCUGGAGGAAAAAAAAAUCUGCUUAGUUGUAUGUUGGAUUGUUGCUCAAAUGGAUAGAUCAGUGGAGAGCCUUUUGUGGGAGAAAUUGUGCCAUACAAUUUCAAAAUGGUAUCUUUAUUCAUUAAAUGCUUUAAUGUCUAGACAUUGAGCUGGAUAUUCUAAGGACAUGAAGG
rnacentral:lncRNA from 1 species